GACGAACGCUGGCGGCGUGCCUAAUACAUGCAAGUCGAGCGGAACUGGGGGAGCUUGCUCCUUCCAGUUUAGCGGCGGACGGGUGAGUAACACGUGGGCAACCUGCCCUGCAGAUCGGGAUAACUCCGGGAAACCGGUGCUAAUACCGAAUAGUUUGGCGCCUCCCCUGAGGCGCUACGGAAAGACGGUUUCGGCUGUCACUGCAGGAUGGGCCCGCGGCGCAUUAGCUAGUUGGUGGGGUAACGGCCCACCAAGGCGACGAUGCGUAGCCGACCUGAGAGGGUGACCGGCCACACUGGGACUGAGACACGGCCCAGACUCCUACGGGAGGCAGCAGUAGGGAAUCUUCCGCAAUGGACGCAAGUCUGACGGAGCAACGCCGCGUGAGUGACGAAGGUUUUCGGAUCGUAAAACUCUGUUGUGAGGGAAGAACACGUACCAACUAACUAUUGGUACCUUGACGGUACCUCGCCAGAAAGCCACGGCUAACUACGUGCCAGCAGCCGCCGUAA
rnacentral:rRNA from 1 species